UGAUGGUCCCCAUGAACCAUUUAUUGCAGAUUCUGUGGACUUUGUUGUUUCUCAGGUUGAAACACUUUCAAGAGAAGACUUGGCUUCCAGAUUGACCUUGAAUGUUGAUGCUGCUUCGGUUGGAUCUCUUCUACUUUCAGAUUCAUAUAUCACUAUAAUGGAUACAAACGACUAUUGUGCGAUUCCUCAACAGCUCAAAGACCAACUGAGUGAAAGAUAUCCUGAAGCAAGGAGAGCUUACUUGAAGACAGGAGGCGAUUUCCCAUUUCUUUCUCGCCCAGAUGAAGUCAACUUGCAUCUUCAGCUACACCUGCGACGAGUUGGGGUUGAAGCUCGACCAGAUUUGGUCCGCGGUAUCCCUAAAGACGGCACUGGAGGGAGUCAUAGUGAAAAGGAGAAAAAGAAAGAGGAUCCAGAUGAUCAACCCAAAGAUGGGGGAAGCUCCGAAAGUCGAUCUGGAGAAAAUCAGUUGCCUCCUGCAUCAGAAAUUUCAGAAUCACACGCUGAAGAAAAGCGGCNNNNNNCAAAAGGUUGUCUCAUUGCUCAGGAAGAUAUUUCACAUCUUCGUGAAUCACUGAGGAAACAACACAUCACAACCACUGAUAUCCUUCUGCAGUCGACUUGUGAGAGUAUUCUUCCAUUUUUGCUUGCCUCUUAUGUGCAAUCGCUGUACAUUACAACCAAAUUGUUGUCAAAAACUUGGGCAACUGGUGUAAAAUAGAUGCUCAGAUUAUGACUGUUCUCUUUUCUCUGCUAAGUUUCCACAAGCAUUUGUUGCAAAUUGACUCUCCUGGAGGUUGCUAAUGUUUUGGCUGAGAAUCAGUUCUUCUGUUUGACACUGUUGUACAUUUUGUACAUUUGGCAUUCAAG
rnacentral:misc_RNA from 1 species